CAAACAUUAUUCAGCUUUAAAUAUUGUUCAGCUUUAAAGUUACUGUGCAACUGUGUAAUAAAAAUGUGUGCUCACGACUUUGGCCUUGAGAGCGAUAAGAAGCGAUCGCCUCAUUCUGCAGGUGUAAGAUAUCUGCAAGCGAAGAGACUAGAACACCCAAGGCCGCUUUCCUUUUAUGGAGUUGUUUUUCUGCUAAUGCAGCACUGUCCUCACAACCCCCUCCUGUAAGUUUUAGAGAAUAUAUACCCAUUCGCACAGCAAAUCUGGGGAAUCUCCUGAUGUGAGCUGUUUGAGAGGUUGUCUCUGUCUCAAUAAAAGUUCACUGAUUCCCCCAUCUGCAGCAGGUGUCCGGUUGUCUUCAUUCUCCGCCAGCCUGGAUCCGCUCCAGGGCAACUGGAACGGAGGGAGGAAAUCGGCCGUGGUCUGAGUGAACGGAGUUUGGACAAAAGCUGUGUGCACACAAAAACAAGUGUCUUCAUACAGGUGUUUUUUCUUAACCUGGAAGCCUGAGUACGGCAGCAGAAGACAGGCCAAGCUUUGGCUAAAAUUCACGGCUGGACACCAGAGUUGUCCUCACCCCUCCCGGUAAAACAAAAAAGAGAGAAUGUAGUUUGAGGCAGGUUUUUCUCGCUGACCUGCUCUGGGUGCUGUGUCCCUGAAUCUCACCAGUGUUAACCUCUGGCGGAAGACAUGGAGAAAAGGAAAAGAUGUUCCUGCCGAAGCUGACCUGGACUCCUACCCUCCCCUCUACCAUCGUUGCCCUCUCCGCGACCAUCUUUGACCCUUUGACCCCUGAAGGCCACAGCAGCUGGACUCACAACAACAACUUGAGGAUGUCAACAGUGCUGCAAAAGAGUGAUCUCAUGCAGCAGAGACGGAGAGCACUAAACCUAAAGCCCGUUUCACUACACGGGGGAAAUUCCCAGGCUGCGUCAGCUGACAGAGCUGUGACGAGACGCGCAUUAAGCCCGGAGGAAAAGGGACGGUGAGCAGAAGGAUGCUGACCUCUGAGAAGAGCCGAACAGCAGAGCUGCAGAAGGCCGUGGAGCAAAGUAAGGAAGAUGCAGGCAGCUGCAACAACGGAUGAAAACAGACCCAAAGAGGAGGGGAGGACCCUAGGCCAUGCGUCAGGCCGCUGGUUUACCUAAACUACAGAACAGGAAGGUGAUGAACACAAACAUAUACCAACACACGAACACACACUUCUGCAUGCGCCUACUUAGAAUGAAGGGAAACACACACAUGAACACUUAUGCACUUGUUGAGGGAGUAACAACUGAUACAUACCCAUGCACUAAAAUCAAAAUGUUGAUUUAAUUUACUAAGAAGUGACACACAAUGCUCUAGCUGCUGCAAUGAAGAAUGCUUUACUGACAAAGGCUCAAUGCUGCACACAACAAAGUCAAAUACAGAAUUUGCUAUAAUAAUAAGCCCAGGGGGCAUUUGUGUGGUCUGGGGAGCAGAGUCCGGAGCGGUUUGGUUAUGAAAAUGAUGCCCGUGCGAGAUAUCUGGGGCUUAAGGCCUCGACUUAAUUGUUU
ensembl:lncRNA